GUAUUUGAUAGAAAAAGGAUGUCCAGCGAUACGCGCACGACGAGAGUGUUUAAGACUGAUGGAAAUCGAAAUAGAGUAGCCCCGAACCAACGGAACUUGAUGCUCCCACGUACUUACGACACAUUCAGAUCGACAUAGUUUGCCUGAAAACUAUAGAAAUCUAUAUGGCUAGUUCGAAGAUCAUACAGGAAAAUCAUGACACUUCUUAAACAUGGAAGAAAAAUCGAUAGGAGCCAUCCUGGAUUCGCAGAAAUUGGCGGAGGUCACAUCGCGG
rnacentral:misc_RNA from 1 species